UGUGUGAGAGUAACUGCUCAUGCAGUGACGGUAUCUAACCAGAAAGCCACGGCUAAAUACGUGCCAGCAGCCGCGGUAAUACGUAGGUGGCAAGCGUUGUCCGGAUUUAUUGGGCGUAAAGGGAACGCAGGCGGUUUUUUAAGUCUGAUGUGAAAGCCUUCGGCUUAACCGAAGUCAUGCAUUGGAAACUGAAAGACUUGAGUGCAGAAGAGGAGAGUGGAACUCCAUGUGUAGCGGUGAAAUGCGUAGAUAUAUGGAAGAACACCAGUGGCGAAAGCGGCUCUCUGGUCUGUAACUGACGCUGAGGUUCGAAAGUGUGGGUAGCAAACAGGAUUAGAUACCCUGGUAGUCCACACCGUAAACGAUGAAUGCUAAGUGUUGGAGGGUUUCCGCCCUUCGGUGCUGCAGCUAACGCAUUAAGCAUUCCGC
rnacentral:rRNA from 2 species